rnacentral:rRNA from 1 species
CAGUAGCCGCGGUAAUACGAAGGGUGCAAGCGUUACUCGGAAUUACUGGGCGUAAAGCGUGCGUAGGUGGUGGUUUAAGUCCGUUGUGAAAGCCCUGGGCUCAACCUGGGAAUUGCAGUGGAUACUGGAUCACUAGAGUGUGGUAGAGGAUAGUGGAAUUUCCGGUGUAGCAGUGAAAUGCGUAGAGAUCGGAAGGAACAUCUGUGGCGAAGGCGACUAUCUGGGCCAACACUGACACUGAGGCACGAAAGCGUGGGGAGCAAACAGGAUUAGAUACCCCAGUAGUCCCUGUCUCUUAUAC